AAGAAGCUUCCUCCUCCGCAUCGCGCACACCUCAUCGUCGCUUCUUUCCUAAUCGGGGAGUUGUUGCCUUCACGAAUUGGGACGGUUUUCCGCGACAUCAUUGUGGAAAGGUACGUCCUGGAGCCGAUUGCCAGCGCACGCAACAACCCGAGUCCCGACCCACGCACCACCGUAUAUCGCGGCAGCCAAAAUGGGAUCGGUCCACCGCAGUUGGGGUUCAUUCUGCUCCUCGCGAACUGUGCAAGCUCAUGAAUCUCGACAACGACAACAAAACACGAGCUCCAUCAGGCCGCGUGAGAACCACCCACCAGUUGGUAACGACUCAUUCCCUACGAGGAAAUUCUCCAUGCACUUAUUGCUUGAAUUUCGAGCCGUCAAACUCGCGUAACUCCAUGAGAGUGUGCGCCAAAUAACACAGACAGUUCGGCAUAAUGACCCAGCUCGCAAAGGAAUCGUGGUGGUUACGACUUCAUCGCCGGGCGGCACCCAGUAUAACAUCAAUAGAAUAAAAUUCACUCACUUCACUAUUUGUCGUCGUGAAACAUUUCAUAAGCUUCAGCGGAGUGGCCCCACCGACCUUCCAAUGUAUGUGAACUUUUACAUUUUUUUCAUUUGUUUUUUUAAUUGUUUUUUUUUUUUUUUAAUUGCAUCUUUUUCAUUUCUGAAAACAAAUGGUGCUCAGGAUACAGAAACUGGAUUCAAAUGGACUUGGGCAAAAAUGGUGUGUAAAAUUCAUUCUGUGGCUCAAAGAUCCUUCUUUGUUGCAUGGAAUUGUCCCUCAUGGUAGAUGAAGAUCUUCCCUUGAUUUGUGCACACGCUUGAUCUAAAUGGUGCAGCUUACUCCAUCAAAAUGGACGCUUACAAAGUAUAAUUAUUGAAAGGGACCUCUCUGAAUUUAUUUGGUGCCCAAAAAACAUAACCUGUGUUUAUUCAUUUAUAUUAUUAUUUGCGUUAGAGAAGGUAGAAGAGGACUUUUAUAUGUGUGUAUAUGUGUAUAGGAGUAGCAAAUAUUUCUAAGCUGUAUCUUAGUUUGGUUAAGUUUUAAUAAAUAAAUUUGUCUGCAAUUUCCUAAUUUUUAUUUUCCACAAUAGUUUAAUUUUUAAAAAAAUUAAGCAAGUGAAUUUGAAUCCUUUUAAUAAAUUUCCAUCAAAAGUUUAG
rnacentral:lncRNA from 1 species